AUACGUAGGGAGCGAGCGUUGUCCGGAAUUACUGGGCGUAAAGGGCGCGUAGGCGGCGCUUCAAGUCGUCUGUCAAAUGUAAGGGCUUAACCCUUUUUCGCAGACGAAACUGGAGAGCUUGAGAAGCAGAGAGGCAAACAGAAUUCCUGGUGUAGCGGUGAAAUGCGUAGAUAUCAGGAAGAAUACCAGUGGCGAAGGCGGUUUGCUGGCUGCAUACUGACGCUGAAGCGCGAAAGCCAGGGGAGCGAACGGGAUUAGAUACCCCGGUAGUCCUGGCAGUAAACGAUGUAUGCUGGGUGUGAGACUAGCGAUAGUUUCGUGCCGAAGUUAACGCGAUAAGCAUACCGCCUGGGGAGUACGGUCGCAAGAUUGAAACUCAAAGGAAUUGACGGGG
rnacentral:rRNA from 1 species